UAAAGCUGAUAUUCUGGAGCCCUUUGUCAAUGCAUGUUUAAGAAAAUUUACAAGUUUAAAAGUUCUCGAUGAUGCUACAUGUGUUUAGUGGAUAUUUUGUUGUACCUAUGCCUCGGUUUUGUGAUCCGAGCUGACCAGCUGUUGUUAAUUACGGUUUUAUUUAUAGUUGUUAAUUCACGUUUGAAUUUCUUGUACUGGUAGCUGUGGUUGAUGCAGUUGCACUCCUAGAAUUCAGUAGAUUACAGUGACGAGCAGUGUAUGCUGAACCAUCUUUUGCUUCCCUUUAUUUUAUAGUUUCGUGACAAACAUAAUGUUCUACUUUGCAUUGAAGAAUCAACUUGAAGAGGGACAGAACAUCCCUGCAGUCCACAAUUAAGCACCAAGAUUCCUCCCCUGGAUUCAGAUUCACCAGAAUACACAAGGUUGUGCCCUUUUGAUGUACAACAAAUGUUAUCAAGCUUUUGCAUCUCCCAUGAGGAAAACAGGCCAUCUCCUUCAGGUUUCUGACUAAAUUUCAGAACCAGUCUACAAGAAAAACCGAAUGCCGAGAUACUCUACCAAUCUGUACAUUCUUAUAAUUUCAUGCUAUUUCCCUUCUUAUUUGCAGUAAUUAUUUACUUUGCUCAAGACGUUUACAGCGGCAAACUACAGCUUGUCAGCAAUUCUGUAGAGGGCAUCAGCCACCUUGCCAAGCACACCUAGCAAGCUGCUCACUUGGUCCUUCCUCUGCUCCCUAUCCAGUUGGCAGUUGAUGUUCUGCGCCUCCAGCUGCGCCGCCACCAUCCGGCUGCUCCGGUCUAGAAUCUCAACAAGCUUGCCCUGCAGGUCAGCGGUUUCUCCUGGGGCAUCAUCGCUGCGCUGCCUCUUCUGCCCACCCUGCGGUAGUGGCGGCUCAUCGGUAAUUCUAAUUUCUUCUUGUUGCUUGCCUUUGGAUGUCCCUGCUGUUAAAAAUUUGGAUUGUUAGGUAGCGCUGUUGUUUGUCUUGCACUGCUUGCACAUCAUGCUUAAAUUUAGGCGUUGUAUUUGUUGAUUUGGGAGAACUUCAUCUUGCUGAAAUAAGGUAAGUAUAAUAACUCUCGUUUCUUCUCAACUCUCAUAAGCGAAUCUAAAAUUCUGGGCUCUGUGUUCUUAUGCUUUUGAUUUCUUUGUGAGUUGCAUGUUACAUCAUCUGUUCACUAAUGUAAGACGAUUUGGCAGUUCAAUCUGAACUGCCAAACGGCUUAAAUUAGUGGGCAGAGGUAGUGAUGAUAAGAAUAACUAAAAAAUCGACAUGUAAAAAUGAGGUACCAGCUAGUUUAUAAGCAAAGGAAGAGACUAGAGUCAUGCUAGAUUGUCAGUGAAGUGAAUAGAGUGAAUACCAUGAAUACUUUUGGUCAUUUCAGAAUCUGUGCAAGACUUCAACUGAAAAUGAGGCUGGUCAAUUUUCCCAAUAAAAUUCCAAGUGGAUUGACCAUAAUAUAGUUUAUUAAUCACUAGAAGUAGCUAGAAAAGGACCCUGGUCAACAGAUUAACAUCAUGGGCAAUGUUUCUGAAUUAGCGCUGCCUGAAACGUUACAGUGUGGCAAACAAUUAUGAAUUAUAGCUGCCUGAAACUGACAUGCUCCUGUGAACAUCUCAAACCUGGUGGAUUUGAUGCCGAAGAUACUUUCAGCACGAUUUGGUUCAUUUUCUUUUAUAAGUUCAGGUUCAAAACUAUCGCUUCUUAAGCGCGCUUUGUGUACUUGUUAACUGCCAAAGUAUUCACUAUAUUGUCUACUGAAAACAGGCUGAACAUCUGUGUUUGCUGCCUGCGGUCAGUUUUUCUUACAAAAGAAGAAAUGAUAUGUAAUUUUGGUCUAUUGAACUUUCUUCUUAAUGAAACUGAGGCAUCUUUGAGAAAAAAAAAUAGCAAUAGCAUUCACCAUCUAGCAGGGUUGAAUGACACGGGUAGCCUUUAAUAUUCUUACUUGAGAAAUUUCUGUGAUGAUUUUAGUAUAUUUUCGGAUUUUAGAAAGUAGGACUGAUACAAAACUUUAAAUAUUUAAUGUUUAUAAGAUUUUUUUUUGUCGGAUGAAACCAGUGGGAAAUAUAUAUUCUGUUAUAAGUGGGAACAGGUCCAAAACGAGGACCGUAAGAAACUAGCGCAAAAGUAUGGAAGGGAAAAUCUAAAAUGUUUGAAUAGGAACCAUGUAAAAUUCAGUUCUUUUUUACCUUGCUCUGAGCUCCCUUGCGUAGGUGCCUCGGUCUUCUUCUCUGCGACCAACACCACAAGAAGCAAAACUAUUUCAGCCAAGCAACCAACCAGACUAUGACAGUAUUAAAAGAGUCUAAGCAAUCACACAUGUAACUCCAGGAAUCAGAAAGAAUAGUUAAUUCAGAUGCCCUGCCCAGUAUCAUCGAAUAACUAACAAGAAAAAAAUAAGGAACCAAAAUUUCCGUUUGAAUGGAUGUCAAACCCGUCGACAGAAACAAAACUGAUUAAUCGACACAACAGCAGAGCAGCUCCUACAUUCAGCAGUAUAAAGCUGGCAUAGUUGUCACCCCAAAUUGAAGAAUCAUUAAGCAUCCUGGAAAGGAUAAUAGCAGCAAGUGUUGUGCAGGUCAAAUUAUCACGCGGCAAAACCUUUUUUUUUGUUCAACAUGCCCCUAAAUGCGUAUCUUUUGUGUAUCAGAAGAACACAUCAAGAACCAAAUCAAAUUCUUCGAUGCAGAAAAGGUCACACCUCCAAGACCAAAUUUGCACAAGAAAAAAAGGGCGAAAUUUUGUACUGUAGUACCGAUGAAGCUCACGCUUUUACCGCCAAGAAUCAGCAACAAACCAGCGGCUCAACUGCACCAUCAAUUCAAAAAGCACACAUUCUUCGCAUGCAAGAAGGGAGCGGCGCGCUCACCGGGUACAGGCACGGGCACGGCGACGGCCACCACCGUGGGCACCUGAGAUGGAGGCGGAUAUGGAGCCGCCGGCAGAACCGGCACCGGCGCAGGCGCAGGCGCAGGCGCUGGCGUGGACGUUUCCUCGUCCUCUUCCUCGGACGACGAUGAGGACGAAAACAGCCCGUCGUCCCCGGCCGCGGACGCGCGGCCACUGUCGAACACCAGCUUCUCCUUGCCCUCCUCCUCCCCAGUCUCCGCGAGCGCCACGGCCGCAUUACUGCCACUGUCGCGGAUGCCGCCGCCGCCGCUGCCACGGCCCUCGAUUAUGUCGUACACCUCGCGGUCGAAGAAGCCCGGGAGCCUCCUCUCCCGCCGCGCGUCGUUCCGCAUGGCCCAGAAGGACACCUCCUUCCCCGCCAAGGACGGCAGCGAGCGCUCCCACUCCCUGAUCUUCUUGUAGUCGCCGGCGAGGUUGCUCCACCGCUUCCGGCACUGCACGGGGCCCCGCUCCACGCCGUGCCGCCGGCAGUACUCCGCCACAGCCGCCCACUUGGUCGGCUCCGCGGCCGCUCCGCCCGCUGCUCCCCUGCCCCUGCCGCGCCCGCGUACCUCCACCACCCGCUUCCCCUCGAUGAGGACCAGUAUCUCCUGCCGCGUCCACCGCGGCAGCCGCGCCGCGCGCCCAGGCCCUGCGAUCCCGCCGCCGGGAUCACCGGCGCUAGACAUGCCGCCGCACGCACGGCGACCUCGUCCCCUCUCGGAGCGGGCCGGUGCAACGGCGAACUAACAAGUGUGGAGGGAAGGGAGGUGUGGCAAGCAAACCAACGGAGGGAGGAGAAGGGUGUGUGUCUUAACCCUUAAGCCGCGGAUUAGGAGAGAGUGGUCUUAAUUAGGUGUAAACUAAUGGCGAUUAAGUGGGGGAUUACGGGGAGGAUUCUCCAGGGAGGGAGGAAAAAGGAAGAGUGGUUGGAAUGAUUAGAGGAGGAUUAAUGGAGGGCAAUUCCAUCAUGGAGCAGUGCGGGUGGGAAUAGGGGGGCGGGCACCUAUUGUUCCCGUUCCGGUUUUCAGCAAUACUAGUACUAGUAGAGGGUAGGGUAGGGUGGGAUAGACUAGUACUGUUGUGAUAUUCAUUCCUGUGCCUUUUUCGUUUUCUGCUCUGGCCGGAAAUUCGGAUCCUCUGCUUUUUUUUAUGUGAUGAAAAUACUUGUAAGGGCCGCUGCGAUACGCUCAUGGGAGUACCACACAAUUGUUUCACUGUAGCUUAAUAAAUCGAUCGUAUUGGUGCAUCUUCGGCAGUCUAAAAUUUUAUAUCUUACUCGUGUCGCCUAAGGCCUCACGUUAUCCGCGUACAACUUGAGAAAAAUAGCCUCUUCGAACCAUUUCUAGUCCCUAUCAAUCUAUCAUCAUCUUUCUCAAAAAUAAUAAUAAUAAAUCUAUCAUCUGUUGUUAUCAGUACAUCUUCACUAUCCCCCAGUCCUACCUAGUCCUACCACCGGGUUGCCGCUUGGCCUUUGGGUAAGAGGAUAUGUGGCCUUCUCUCUUUCGAGAUUUUGGCCAAUGACCCUACUAAGAUCGAGACAGAUAAAUCGGCUCCAUUGCGGGUGCAUGCACUUCCAGGUUUGCUAAAGCAGGAUUUUUUUUUUCAAGAAAACUUCGAUCUAUUUAUGAUAUGCCAGAACAAAAAUUACAGCCAUGUUCGUAGACCACCUAGAGACAAGUACAAGCAUUCAAGCGAGCCGAAGAUGCACCGCCGUCAUCCCAUUGCCCUCCACCCGCCACCACUGGAGUUGGGCCAAACUUGUUGUAGUGGACAGUUAGAAAGUCGUCGCGUUAAGGCCCCACAAGACCAACGCACUAGAACAAUAACCGCCGCCAAUGAUGAGAAGCAUAGAUCGAAAGAAUUCAAUCUGUAGACAUACGAACGAAGAUGGACAAAGAUUGGAUUCAAACAAAUCCAUCAAAGACCAACACCGGUUGAAUCCUGCGAGAUCUACCGGUGACACAUCUCCACACGUCCUCCGAGGAUGUGCAUCACUGGAAUGGGAGCUAGGCAAGGAGAACUCAAUUCCAUCUUUACGAAGCCGCCAUUGCCUCAUCUUUUGUGAGCGUGACACAAACCCUAAACAAACUUAUAAAAACACCUAAACGGAGCAAGAUCCCUCCCUCGGACAAGAGCGGGGUCCAUUGUGGUCCUAGGGCCACCGAAGACGAGGCGGACCGACGAUAGUGCCGUUGGGAGGCAAAGAAACCCUAAACUUCUUUUCUUGGAGAAGAGGAGGUUAUGAUUGCGUUUGACAAGACGCUACACGGUAUCAUCCUUUCUUUCAAUUAGCGAACCCUCAAAGCAAGAUUGCUUUACCCUGCAAAGAAAAAGAAACAUGAUUUUUUUUGGACAAGCGAAAAAAAGCAAGAUUACUUUACUAAGGAUCACUUCAAAAUUAUCGAUGCAAAAAAAAAAAAAAAC
rnacentral:lncRNA from 1 species